rnacentral:rRNA from 1 species
GUGCCAGCAGCCGCGGUAAGACGGAGGGGGCUAGCGUUGUUCGGAAUUACUGGGCGUAAAGCGCACGUAGGCGGCCUUUCAAGUCGGACGUGAAAGCCCCGGGCUUAACCCGGGAAUUGCGUUUGAUACUGUUGGGCUUGAGACCGGGAGAGGAUAGCGGAAUUCCCAGUGUAGAGGUGAAAUGCGCAGAUAUCAGGAGGAACACCAAUGGCGAAGGCAGCUCGCUGGGACGUGACUGACGCUGAGACGCGAAAGCGUGGGGAGCAAACAGGAUUAGAUACCCUGGUAGUCCACGCUGUAAACGAUGCGUGCUAGACGUUGGGCACCCUAGGUCUCCGGUGUCGUCGCUAACGCUUUAAGCACGCCGCCUGGGGAGUACGGCCGCAAGGUUAAAACUCAAAGGAAUUGACGG